UACGGGGGGAGCAAGCGUUGUUCGGAUUUAUUGGGCGUAAAGGGUGCGUAGGCGGUCGCGUAAGUCGGGUGUGAAAUCCCGAGGCUCAACCUCGGAACUGCACUCGAUACUGCGUGACUUGGGUGCUGGAGAGGAGACUGGAAUUUACGGUGUAGCAGUGAAAUGCGUAGAUAUCGUAAGGAAGACCAGUGGCGAAGGCGAGUCUCUGGACAGCUACCGACGCUGAGGCACGAAGGCCAGGGGAGCAAACGGG
rnacentral:rRNA from 1 species